UGGGGAAUAUUGCACAAUGGGGGAAACCCUGAUGCAGCAACGCCGCGUGCGGGAUGACGGCCUUCGGGUUGUAAACCGCUUUCAGCCAUGACGAAGCUUUUGUGACGGUAGUGGCAGAAGAAGCACCGGCUAACUACGUGCCAGCAGCCGCGGUGAUACGUAGGGUGCGAGCGUUGUCCGGAAUUAUUGGGCGUAAAGAGCUUGUAGGCGGUUUGUCGCGUCGAAAGUGUAAACUCAGUGCUUAACGCUGAGCCUGCUUUCGAUACGGGCUGACUAGAUGAAGGUAGGGGAGAAUGGAAUUCCCGGUGGGGCGGUGGAAUGCGCAGAUAUCGGGAGGAACACCAGUGGCGAAGGCGGUUCUCUGGACCUUUCCUGACGCUGAGAAGCGAAAGCGUGGGUAGCAAACAGG
rnacentral:rRNA from 1 species